GGCCAGGCUGGUGCUUUCAUUAAUUCUUGUUUAUUUUUUAUUAUUUUUUUUUUCUGGUUAAAAAUAGGUCUUGGUGACCUUUGGAAGUGACCUUGAAGGGGAAAAAUUCGCUGAAGGGCUACGUAUAGCCUGAACUGAAGGUGAGUAGGGCAGAGAGUGGGAAGAUAAUGAAUAUUUAUUUAUUUAUGUAUUUAUUUUAAAAUUCUGGCCUUUAUCCAGAUGAAGAAUUAAUAUUUAUUAAGCUCCUCUACAUGCUUGUCAUCUUAAGUAUGUUAUUCACUCAUUUUGUUCAACAAGAUUUAUUGUUGCUGGAGGCUGGAUGUGGUGGCUGAUGUCUGUAAAUCCAGCACUUUGGGAGACCAAGGUGGGAGGAUCAUUUGAGACCAGGACUUGAGACCAGCCAGGGCAAAAGAGUGAGACCCUAUCUGUACCAAAAAAAAAUUUUUUUUGAGACAGAGUCUCGCUCUGUUGCCCAGGCUGGAAGUGCAGUGGCAUGAUCUCUACUCACUGCAACCUCCGCCCCCGGUUCAAGCGAUUCUCCUGCCUCAGCCUCCCAAGUGGCUGGGACUACAGGGGCGUGCCACCACACCUGGCUAUUUUUUUGUACUUUUAGUAGUGGGAUUUCACUAUGUUGGCCAGACUGGUCCCAAACCCCUGACCUCAGGUGAUCCACCCACCUUGGCCUCCCAAAGUGCCGGGAUUAUAGACAUGAGCCACCAUGCCCAGCCAAGAAAUUUUUUAAAAAGUAAUCGAGCAUGGUGACACAUGCCUGUAGUUACAGCUACUUGGGAGGCUGAGGUGGGGGGAUGGCUUGAACCCAGGAGUUUGAGGCUACAGUAAGCCAUGAUUGUGCUACUAUAUCCCAGCCUGGGCAACAGAGCAAGACCCUAUCUCUCAAAAAAAAAAAAAAAAAAAAAAGUUUAUUGUCCCUGGAACUGUGCUGAUGAUGGCCUACCAAAUUUUCACAAGAAUAUUGCAAAAUGAGGACACAAAGCCUUUAAGAAAUUAAGUAAUUUGCCUAAGGUCAUGUGACUGGUUGUUGACAGAAGCUAGUUUUAAACUCAGGUUAAUCUGCUUUCUAUCUGUGCUAUUUCCAUUACACCUUUCUGCUUUGUCCAAGUGAUCCUAGGAAAGGAAUUCGCCAGAUUCUAAGUUGCUAAGCCCAAAGAUUGAGUCUAAAUUGAUAUACUCACCUCCCCACUGUUCUUCCAUUGGCUGACUCAUGCUUUCAGAGAAGCUGGGAAAUUAGGGGAGACCAAUAAAAGAGUGCCUUUCUUGCAGAUUCAGGAAACUAAAUGUUGCUUUAAGCACUGUUCUAGAAAAUUCCCAGUAACUUUAGAGUGUCCUUUAAGAGCUCUUAAUGCUCUGGAAAGUCUCUCAAUACCGGUUUUCCAGAGGCUGGACGCUUUGCCGUUGAGUGUAGUGUUUGCAGCACAUCGCAGAGGCAGGUCACUAGAGCUAGUGGGAACACAUACAUCACUGACAUGUGAUGGGAAUCCUCCAGGGGGCAAACAGGCGGGGGCCAGCUUCUGCUCUGAGCAGUCUAAAUGGAGCUAGAAACAAGAGCCAUCUAGUAAAACAUUUCACAGGAUAAAGUGCAGAGUCUGUUUCACACUUAGCCCUGUCAGUUCUGUGGAGAGGCAAGUGUUUGUAGAAAGUUUUGAAUUCUUCUCUCAUGCCCUGGAAAACCAAACACCAUCAAAGAAAACAGCCUGCUCCUGAAUUCUGCGGCUGUAGUUUUUACACUCACCAUCCUGUUUUUUCUUUCUUAAAUUGCUUCGUGUGAUGAGGACACAAAUCAAAAUAGUCUACCUUUUAGAAAAGAUGGCAGAUCGUGGCAUUUACAUCUCAUAAGUAUCUGAUUGCUUAAAGAAAAUCAUCUAACUGUUCAAGUCAAUAAACUUUUACUGAACACUUGUCGUGCGCUAGUCAUUGUGAUAGUGGCGAUGAUGAAGUGAUGUAUGGUUCUUCUUUUCAAGAAGCUUUCAGUCUAGUGGUGAAAGAGCACAGACAUGAAUGAUACUUGGAAUACAAUGGGAUCUCUUUUACAGCUGAGAUACUUUCCAGGCAGGCUGCAGGGAGUUGGUGCCAGAUAGUCCUGGAUUCAUAAUCCCUAUUGCUUCUAACAAUAAAAGGAUCUCAACCAGAUACUCAAUCUCAUCCAUCAUCAAUUUGCCUCUCUGUUAGAGAUAAACAAUGCCACCUCAUAGGACUGUUUUGAGAUGCAAUAGACAUCAGAAUUGAUAUAUGAGAUUUACCAGACUCAUAUCAUCAAGGUGAUCUGCCAUAACUUGCUUAACCAUUGCUCUGUGCCUGAUGAAAAAACUUUGCCAGAGUAGUCUCUCUACCACUCUGAAUCCCUUGUCCCUUGCUCACCUCCUCAAUGGCAACCACUCCCCUUAACCCCUGUAUAUCACUCCAG
rnacentral:lncRNA from 1 species